rnacentral:lncRNA from 1 species
CAUGAUGAUUCACACCUGUAAUCCCAGCUACCCAGGAGACUGAGGUGGCAGGAUCACUUGAGCCCAGGAGUUCAAGUCUGUAGUGAGUCAUGAUCAUGCCACUGCACUCCAGCCUGAGAGAGUGAGACCCUAUCUCAAAAAAAAAAAAAAAAAAAAAAAAAAAAUUAAAAACAGGAAACUUGAGAAUAUAAUUGGGAAAACUAAAUUUAUGAAAGUCAAUCAUGUUUUAUAUAUAGGUGAAGAAGAAUUGAUGGUGUGGAUGGCAUUUUCACAAUCAAGUCCUCUUGAAGGAAGACACAACUAACAGCAACAUUAAGGAUGGAUUGGAGUUCAGAAAAAACAGGGUGGAAGAGGAUUACAAUCACGGAAAACAUUUUGAGUACGUUAAAUUAAUUUUCAGGACCGACAUCAGCAAGGUGGUGGAAUAUGACUUUUCAGCAUUUAUUCACUUACAGAAACAUCCAUCAAAACAACUAUCCAUGUGCAAAAGUAUCUUCAUAAAAACUAAGGAAACCAGAAAUCUUCAUGAAUAUUCCACCCCUUGGUUAAAGAAACCAGUAAAGAUAGAAGCCCCAAGCCCCACUGCAAGCGACUCACUCUCUUGAGUUUGCCCACACUGCCUUUU